rnacentral:rRNA from 1 species
GACGAACGCUGGCGGCGUGCCUAAUACAUGCAAGUCGAGCGGACUGAUUAAGAGCUUGCUCUUAUGACGUUAGCGGCGGACGGGUGAGUAACACGUGGGCAACCUGCCCUGUAGAUCGGGAUAACACCGAGAAAUCGGUGCUAAUACCGGGUAAUAUCUGAGAUCACAUGAUCUUAGGUUAAAAGAUGGCUCCGGCUAUCACUACAGGAUGGGCCCGCGGCGCAUUAGCUAGUUGGUAAGGUAAUGGCUUACCAAGGCGACGAUGCGUAGCCGACCCGAGAGGGUGAGCGGCCACACUGGGACUGAGACACGGCCCAGACUCCUACGGGAGGCAGCAGUAGGGAAUCUUCCGCAAUGGACGAAAGUCUGACGGAGCAACGCCGCGUGAGUGAUGAAGGGUUUCGGCUCGUAAAGCUCUGUUGUUAGGGGAGAAACAGUACCGAACGAACUAGGUCGGUACCUUGACGGUACCUAACCAGAAAGCCACGGCUAACUACGUG